UGGGGAGUAUUGCACAAUGGGGGAACCGGUAGCAUGCAGCGACGCCGCGUGGGUGAAGAAGUAUUUCGGUAUGUAAAGCCCUAUCAGCAGGGAAGAUGAUGACGGUACCUGACUAAGAAGCCCCGGCUAACUACGUGCCAGCAGCCGCGGUAAUACGUAGGGGCAAGCGGUUAUCCGGAUUUACUGGGUGUAAAGGGAGCGCAGGCGGUUCGGCAAGUCUGAUGUGAAAACCCGGGGCCACCGGCAGCUGCAUUGGAAACUGCCGGGCUGGAGUGUGGGAGAGGCAGGCGGAAUUCCUAGUGUAGCGGUGAAAUGCGUAGAUAUUAGGAGGAACACCAGUGGCGAAGGCGGCCUGCUGGACCAAGACUGACGCUGAGGCUCGAAAGCGUGGGGAGCAAACAGGAUUAGAUACCC
rnacentral:rRNA from 1 species